rnacentral:tRNA from 1 species
CCUCUCGUAGCUUAGUGGUGAACGCUUUGACGUGUAAAGCCGAAGGUCCCGGGUUCAAUUCCCGGCGAGGGUG